rnacentral:tRNA from 1 species
GUCCCCAUAGUUUAGUGGAAAAACGCCGGUUUGCGGAACCGAAGCCCCAAGUUCGAUCCUUGGUGGGGGCACCA